UCCUUGAAUGCUUCCAGCUCUGCAUCUGUAAUUUUCCAUGGAGUCUCUCGCUUUAAUUUCUCAGCAGUUGUUAUAUCUUUGCAGCUUUCAUGGAGGCGAUAUGGUUCAAUCAUCUCUUCAAAGAAUUUCCAGCUGAAACGGGAGUUACAAAGGAGGCCUUGCUGUAGGUCAAAAUCUCCAAUGCACUCUGGAAACACUGGUGAAUCUAAUACUGUUUCUGCAAAGUUAUCGGUGUGUGUAGAAAUGGGACACAGAAGGAUUAAAAGACUAACCCGAGACUGCACUUGAACUCAGAGGAAAAGUUUUGAGUGGAGGAGAGGAGCCCUUUGCCUAUGAAACAGCUAUGGACCUCUUAAGAGGGAAGUAAAAGAUGGGAUGGAAGAUACCAUAGCAAGGUACUUAGAAAAUGAUUGCAAUUGAGUGACAGUGUUAUUCUUUGUGGUGUGUUUUGGGUUUUUUUAAUGCUCAGCAUAAAAGAAGCAAGCUCCUGAUAAAGUCCGACUGCUGAAGAAUGGAUUUUGGAUGAGCAGUAUAUACAGGUGCCAGAACUGCCUCUGAAGGUCUGACGUGUUUUGACAAAUCCCAUUUGAUGUCAAAGCCUCCUACUUCCUCUCAACAAAAUUUGGUGACCUGAGUGCCUAGAUCCAGGAGCCAGUUGCAGUCCUGAGCAGCCAAGCUUGGGCAGACUCUGGACAGGGAGCAGGUCCUUGAGCAGCUGUAAAGCUUUUUUUACCCAAUGAUAACAGCAGUUUGUACAAGCACGUGAAUCUCUUCUACAGAAGUAUGUUAACUUCAAGGUAAUCCUUACAACUGACAAAACAACAGCAGAAUAAAGCUUGCUUUAUGUGAAAGCAAAAGCAUAAAGGAGCAUCCAUGUGGCAGCUAUCUUUCCAAGGCUGGCUAAAUUCUAACUCCUAUCUUUGCAUCCAUCUCACUUGUUUUCCAAUGGAGUUUUGGUUGGACAUGUUGAUUUUAACUCGCUACAGGGGGCUGCUGCCCUUUGAUAAGAUACCCUGUACCUCUUUGUUACUGACUUCCAUCGCAAGUUGGACUGCUUCCACCAGAUGUGAAAUGGCUCUGCCUCUGGUGUGUAAAGUGCUGGAAGGAAAGGUCCCAUAUACAGUGAUGAUGGAAGUAAGUGUGUAUUAGUACCUUUCAUUUGCUUGAAGGUGAAUGAUGAUUAUGAAAUCUAGACUUUUUUAAAAAAGCUAAGUCAAAUCA